rnacentral:rRNA from 1 species
UGGGGGAUAUUGCGCAAUGGGGGCAACCCUGACGCAGCAACGCCGCGUGAAGGAUGAAGGUUUUCGGAUUGUAAACUUCUUUUAUUAAGGACGAAACUUGACGGUACUUAAUGAAUAAGCUCCGGCUAACUACGUGCCAGCAGCCGCGGUAAUACGUAGGGAGCAAGCGUUGUCCGGAUUUACUGGGUGUAAAGGGUGCGUAGGCGGCUUUGCAAGUCAGAUGUGAAAUCUAUGGGCUCAACCCAUAAACUGCAUUUGAAACUGUAGAGCUUGAGUGAAGUAGAGGCAGGCGGAAUUCCCCGUGUAGCGGUGAAAUGCGUAGAGAUGGGGAGGAACACCAGUGGCGAAGGCGGCCUGCUGGGCUUUAACUGACGCUGAGGCACGAAAGCGUGGGUAGCAAACAGGAUUAGAUACCCUGGUAGUCCACGCUGUAAACGAUGAUUACUAGGUGUGGGGGGUCUGACCCCUUCCGUGCCGGAGUUAACACAAUAAGUAAUCCACCUGGGGAGUACGGCCGCAAGGUUGAAACUCAAAGGAAUUGACGGGGGCCCGCACAAGCAGUGGAGUAUGUGGUUUAAUUCGAAGCAACGCGAAGAACCUUACCAGGUCUUGACAUCCAACUAACGAAGUAGAGAUACAUUAGGUGCCCUUCGGGGAAAGUUGAGACAGGUGGUGCAUGGUUGUCGUCAGCUCGUGUCGUGAGAUGUUGGGUUAAGUCCCGCAACGAGCGCAACCCUUGCUAUUAGUUGCUACGCAAGAGCACUCUAAUAGGACUGCCGUUGACAAAACGGAGGGAGGUGGGGACGACGUCAAAUCAUCAUGCCCCUUAUGACCUGGGCUACACACGUACUACAAUGGAUGUUAACAGAGGGAAGCAAGACAGCGAUGUGGAGCAAACCCCUAAAAACAUUCUCAGUUCAGAUUGCAGGCUGCAACCCGCCUGCAUGAAGAUGGAAUUGCUAGUAAUCGCGGAUCAGCAUGCCGCGGUGAAUACGUUCCC